GACGAACGCUGGCGGCGUGCCUAAUACAUGCAAGUUGAGCGCUGAAGGUUGGUACUUGUACCAACUGGAUGAGCAGCGAACGGGUGAGUAACGCGUGGGGAAUCUGCCUUUGAGCGGGGGACAACAUUUGGAAACGAAUGCUAGUACCGCAUAAAAACUUUAAACACAAGUUUUAAGUUUGAAAGAUGCAAUUGCAUCACUCAAAGAUGAUCCCGCGUUGUAUUAGCUAGUUGGUGAGGUAAAGGCUCACCAAGGCGAUGAUACAUAGCCGACCUGAGAGGGUGAUCGGCCACAUUGGGACUAAGACACGGCCCAAACUCCUACGGGAGGCAGCAGUAGGGAAUCUUCGGCAAUGGACGAAAGUCUGACCGAGCAACGCCGCGUGAGUGAAGAAGGUUUUCGGAUCGUAAAACUCUGUUGGUAGAGAAGAACGUUGGUGAGAGUGGAAAGCUCAUCAAGUGACGGUAACUACCCAGAAAGGGACGGCUAACUACGUG
rnacentral:rRNA from 1 species